UUCGAUUCGAGCGCAGCGAGAAAGCGUUGCCGCAGGCAACGACCCGAAGGGCGAAGCGCGCAGCGCUGAGUCAUCCUUCCCCCACCACCA
rnacentral:sRNA from 10 species